rnacentral:rRNA from 1 species
CGUAGGGUGCGAGCGUUAAUCGGAAUUACUGGGCGUAAAGCGUGCGCAGGCGGUUUUGUAAGACAGGCGUGAAAUCCCCGGGCUCAACCUGGGAACUGCGCUUGUGACUGCAAGGCUAGAGUACGGCAGAGGGGGGUGGAAUUCCACGUGUAGCAGUGAAAUGCGUAGAGAUGUGGAGGAACACCAAUGGCGAAGGCAGCCCCCUGGGUCGAUACUGACGCUCAUGCACGAAAGCGUGGGCAGCAAACAGGAUUAGAUACCCUGGUAGUCCACGCCCUAAACGAUGUCAACUAGGUGUUGGGUGGGUAAAACCAUUUAGUACCGGAGCUAACGCGUGAAGUUGACCGCCUGGGGAGUACGGCCGCAAGGUUA